GCAACAUGGUUAUGGGUACUACAGUGGAUGUGAGUGUGUAGACCUUGUACAAUAGAGCUUAUAGGCUAAUGAGAAGACAGGAAGAAACAACAGGAACACAUAUAGCUGGAAUGCAGAUGGGAUCUGUGCUACUUACGCUAGCCAUGGGAUGAUUAGAACAAGAUAAGAGACAUGAGGAAGACUUCUUCAAGGAGGUGCUCAAGCCAUGUUUUGGAAAAGAGAACUCAAGGUCUGGCAGGGAGAAAGGAGCAAGAGUAGACUUUGAGUCUUUGCUUCAGAUGCAGAUCAAGAUGUGGCAACCUGUUGUGGAGAACUGGGUCCCUUGAGCCUGUGCUGUCUCUUUUUUUCUGGUGGCUUUGUCAUUUGGAACAAUGCAUAAUGGGCUGGAGGCUGAGAAACUCUGAGCUGAGGGCAAGUAGAGCUGCAGCUGUCUGGCGCCACUGUAAUGCUGUCUCCUCCUCUGAGUGAGUUCAUCCUGGAAACAUUUUCUCCCAUAAGACAUGCACAGGUCUUACGUUUACAUGUUUCACUGAAAGAAAUUUGAUUCCACUGCUGGGAUGACAAGGAAGACUGAAGAAACCUAAUCCUAGGUGCUGCCACUGGG
rnacentral:lncRNA from 1 species